AUGGAGUGGAUGUACAACCAAGGGCCACCCUUACCUCUUUACCAACAAAAUAAAAACGCGGACCGAGUUCUUGGCCGUGAGCCACCGCGCGGGUGCACCGACGGCGGCGCCUGCGCACGUGGCACCACACUGGCCGUGGCAGUCGCCGGCGCCGUACCUCUUUGGCGGGCCGGCGACCAUGCUGGGGAUCAUCGCCUUCGCGCUGCUCAUCCUCGCCUGCACCUACUGGAAGCUCUCCGGCCGGCAGCGGGUGACGCCAACGGGGAGAAGGACUCGGCGUCCGGUGCGUCCAAGUCGGCCCUGGAUUUCCAGGAGCACGUGGUCAUCAUGGCCGGCGACGAGCGGCCCACGUUCCUCGCCAAGCCAGUCACCAGCCGGGCUGCCGAGGUGGAGCUCGCGGCCGCAGUGGCGCCAGCGAGCGCGAGCGCCGUCGACGGGCAGGAGAAGAAAGUGGAUUUGCAACGCUGCAAGGUGAGCUCGCAGAUACUGUACAAUAACCCCGAGUAUCAUGAUGCAUUGCAGAUGACAGCAGAUUCAUUCGCGGAGAGUGCUUACAUAGGGUCCAAUAUAUCAUCACGAACACCAACCAGAAGAGGCGCCUCCUCCUACCGGUACUGUGAGAUUAGGCAUUUAGGAAAUCGCCAAUGUCUGAGGCCAGCCACUCAGGCCCAGAGCCUCGCGGACAAAACUCCACAAGAACUGGGUGAUUUGCAUGAAAUCUUGUUCUGCUACUCCUCCUCUUACAUGCUCCUGAUGCAUGAAGCAUCAUCUGUUAAUCUAAUUGCAGCAUCAUUUUUUCUUCUGGCAGGGAAAAGGGCUUUUCCUCGGCAGUGGUGCUGGUGCAGAGCAGUUGAGCACAAGGGCUGUGUGACCUACCAGGGCUGGUGCACCGAGAUCAGCCAUGUUCUCUAA
rnacentral:rRNA from 1 species